GGAAUCUUCCACAAUGGACGAAAGUCUGAUGGAGCAACGCCGCGUGAGUGAAGAAGGGUUUCGGCUCGUAAAACUCUGUUGUUAAAGAAGAACAUAUCUGAGAGUAACUGUUCAGGUAUUGACGGUAUUUAACCAGAAAGGAACGGCUAAAUACGUGCUAG
rnacentral:rRNA from 1 species